rnacentral:lncRNA from 1 species
AAUAUUGGGGUUGUUCAACUAACGCUAAUCGAUCCCUAAUUUUUAUCACAAUUACAUCGCCCUACAAACGACAACAUCAACAACAAAUGACACCCCCAAAGCGAUAGCACAACAGUCGUUGCAGUAUCCAUUUUUGGCUUCUAGACAUCGAACGAGUCGAACAAUUCACAAGCAUCAAUCACCGCUGCAUCACCAUUAUGUUUUUAACACGACAUUACGUCACCAUUUCCAUUAUCGGCAACAAGGAAAGCAUGCUAAGAAAGCCAAACUCGACUCCAUGGGAGGCUAACAAGCCAGCAUAUGCUUUGGACUCGCAUUGAGAAAUGUUAACAAUGCACUAAGAUAAUAAUUCCCACAACCAUACCAAUAAUAUUAGAUUGCCUCCUCGGUCAAAAGAAUUCCAUGCAUCAAUAGGGAAUAAAGAAGCGAGCAGUAAACAAAAGCCACGAGUUGUUCCACGACAAGAGGAGGGCUGAUGGGAGAGAAGGUUUGGUCACCAAACAAAUUAGAUUCUCUCCCCCCCUUUCUCUUUCCUCCACACUCA